GACGAACGCUGGCGGCGUGCUUAACACAUGCAAGUCGAACGGAAAGGCCCUGCUUUUGUGGGGUGCUCGAGUGGCGAACGGGUGAGUAGCACGUGAGUAACCUGCCCUUGACUUUGGGAUAACUUCAGGAAACUGGGGCUAAUACCGGAUAGGAGCUCCUGCUGCAUGGUGGGGGGUGGAAAGUUUCGGCGGUUGGGGAGGGACUCGCGGCUUAUCAGCGUGUUGGUGGGGUAGUGGCUUACCAAGGCUUUGACGGGUAGCCGGCCUGAGAGGGUGACCGGCCACCUUGGGACUGAGAUACGGCCCAGACUCCUCCGGGCGGCAGCAGUGGGGAAUAUUGCACCAUGGGCGGAAGCCUGAUGCAGCAACGCCGCGUGCGGGAUGACGGCCUUCGGGUUGUAAACCGCUUUCGCCUGUGCCGAAGCGUGAGUGACGGUAAUGGGUAAAGCAGCACCGGCUAACUACGUG
rnacentral:rRNA from 1 species